rnacentral:lncRNA from 1 species
UCAAAAGGAGGUUGUUGGAGAUAAGCAGUCCAAUCCUACUCCGGAGGAUAUUGCUAGUCGUAUAAAUCGGUUAGAGGACCAGGUUAAUCAAGAGAUGUUAUUGCCCUCGGAGCCGAAGCGCGGACGUGGCCGUCCAAAAGGCUCGGGAAAAGGAAGGGAGCUUGUACAUGCAGUUCCGACUAAUAGCGUUAAAAACCGCCUAAGAAAUGCGGAGGGUAUUGGAUUUCAGCAGAACAACUUCGUGGUUGAUCAUAGUAGCAGCAACGCGAUGCGUACUAUGAACAAUAUUCCGAACAUCCGUUGGUCGGAUGUAAUAGACAUGGAAAAUGAUCGCAACAAGGAUGAUUAUCAUUCCAAUAUUCCGA